AGUCCAUCGACAACACCCAGCUACCUGGAAAGUUAAAGGCCUGGUGUCUGCAGUUUGGUCUCCUACCCCGGCUGUUGUGGCCCUUAGCAGUGUAUGAGGUUCCAAUCUCAACAGUGGAGAAGAUGGAAAGAGGAGUCACAGGCUACUUAAAGAAGUGGCUCGGAGUUCCACGAUGCCUUACCACCAUCGGCCUCUAUGGAGAUGGUAUCCUCAAGCUGCCCCUCACCAGUCUAACAGAGGAAUUCAAGUGUUCAAAAACCAGGCUCCAGAUGACACUGAAUGAAUCUCGAGACCCAGUGGUGAGCAACAACGCGCCGACCUUGGCAACUGGGCGCAAAUGGAGGCCAGGAAAAGCAGUCCAGGAGGCAACAGCAGCCCUCAGACAUGCUGACAUUGUGGGUCAUGUUCAGCAAGGGAGAGGAGGCCUUGGGCUAACUAGCCGUGCUGCUUGGAGUAAGGCCACUGCACCAGAGCGGCGGAAGAUGGUAGUGCAGGAAGUACGCCAUCAGGAGGAGGCUGCAAGGUGGGCCAAGGCAGUCUCUCUUUCCAAACAGGGACAGUGGACUCGAUGGGACAGUGUGGAGAAGAGGAAGAUCAGCUGGAAGGAUCUGUGGGCCAUGGAAGCGAGGCGGUUGAGCUUUUCCAUCAGAGCAACAUAUGACGUCCUUCCAACUCCAGUUAAUCUUCACCAAUGGUAUGGUGAAGAUCCGGACUGUGCCCUCUGUUCCAUGCCAGCCAACCUCAGGCACAUUCUCACGGGGUGUAAAACAAGCCUCACCCAAGGACGCUACACUUGGCGUCACAACCAAGUCCUUAAAAACCUUGCGUCCGCCCUGGAGGACAAGCGAGCUGCCACCAACUCCCUACCACCCCCAGCAGCAUCACACCCCUUACGGACAAACUUUGUCCGCGAAGGGGCUAAACCACCGAAGCGCGGCUCGACACCAUUAGAGCGAGACCAGCUGCGCUUGGCCCGCGACUGGAAAAUGCUAGCUGACAUUGGCCGGCAACUUGUGUUUCCUCCGGAGAUUGCAACCACCACCCUAAGACCUGACAUGGUGCUCUGGUCCCAUUCGCUCAAGAA
rnacentral:lncRNA from 1 species